rnacentral:rRNA from 1 species
UACGAGGGGGGCAAGCGUUGUUCGGAAUUAUUGGGCGUAAAGAGCUCGUAGGCGGUUUGUCGCGUCUGCUGUGAAAACUCGGGGCUUAACCCCGGGCCUGCAGUGGGUACGGGCAGACUAGAGUGCGGUAGGGGAGACUGGAAUUCCUGGUGUAGCGGUGAAAUGCGCAGAUAUCGGGAGGAACACCGGUGGCGAAGGCGGUUCUCUGGGCCUUACCUGACGCUGAGGAGCGAAAGCGUGGGGAGCGAACAGG